CCUUCAACGGCACAGAAACGCUCCACGCCGCCCGCCAACGACCCGAGUGAUUUCUUCGACUUCUUUUUCUUCGUUUUUCCUGCCGUUGGUGCGUUUAUGACCCUACUUUUAGUCCCCGAUCUCAUUCGAGGUGGAUUGCCUGCUGUUUGGAGAUCGAAGUUUGGCGGAGGAUGGAGAGGGAGCGGAAGGUGAAUCCGGGCUGCAUCAACGCCUCCAAUCCCUUCCAUGUGUGUGGGGAGUACUGCGUUCGACGAUCUCACGGAUCGAAUACCCGAAGUCCCUUACUCGACUUAGCUGGCGCAGCUCAAGUUGGGUAUAGACGUAAGGAGGAUCGAGGGAAAAUAGCGGCGGAAAGAAACGUGGAUCUUUCUUGCCCGAACGCGUCCAAUCCAUACCAUCAGUGUGGGGGGUACUGCUCUUCAAGAAACCCCACCGUGAACGGACAAAAGAAGGAGAAGAGAUCAGCUCAAAAUGGGGGGAUUCAUAAAGAGAAUCAAGGGUUUGCAAUUGUUGAAAAAAAUGUCAAUCCUUCAUGCCUGAAUUCAAGCAAUCCAUACCAUCGGUGUGCUGAGUAUUGCUCUCCAAGAAAAUCUUAGGAGGUGAAAAGUCAAAACAAGGAGAAGAGAUCAGUGGAAAAUGGUGUGAAGAUGCAGGAUAACAGGAUGGUCCAGAGAGAACAAAUCCACCCUAAUUGUGUAAAUGCAUCCAAUCCGUACCAUAUAUGUGUUGAAUACUGCUUUCAGAAAAUAAGUCAAUUGUCAUAGCUAGUGAAGCAAGAGAAAUUAUGUUCACUUCCUUUUGUUUCCUAUUCUUAGAUUCUAUCUUCUGAAAAAUUUGUUAGUUUUAUGUACCUUUUAUUUUGUUGUCAAUGUUUGCCUUAUGUCCUUGUAUUAACUUGCUUGCCUAAUAUAUGUACAAGAUAAGCAACUUCUCCUUAAAUUUCAA